GUGGUUGGCGGUGACCACCAGCGUCGGAAAAUCGAAGAAAAACAGGCAAAAUAGAGGUUUCUUCCGUAACAAAAUCCGACGACUCUGAUCACCGACGUGCGUGCACACUGGCACGGAAAGAAAAGGGGAGAAGAGAGGAAGGAGGAGGAGGCUCACCUUCGACGUCGGUGAGGCUUUCCGACGAGAAAUUGGACGGGCA
rnacentral:lncRNA from 1 species